UAAAGCAUCCGUAGCCGGUUCCGUAGGUCCUCUGUUAAAUCCACCCGCUCAACGGGUGACCUGCAGAGGAUACCGCGGGACUAGGAGGCGGGAGAGGCGGACGGUACUCCGCGUGUAGGGGUAAAAUCCUUUGAUCCGCGGAAGACCACCAGUGGCGAAGGCGGUCAGCCAGAACGCGCUCGACGGUGAGGGAUGAAAGCUGGGGGAGCGAACCGGAUUAGAUACCCGGGUAGUCCCAGCCGUAAACGAUGCUAGCUAGAUGAUUCAUUCGCAAGUCGCGAAUGAAGUGUCGCAGGGAAGCCGUUAAGCUAGCCGCCUGGGGAGUACGGUCGCAAGACUGAAACUUAAAG
rnacentral:rRNA from 1 species